UGGGGAAUCUUGGACAAUGGGCGCAAGCCUGAUCCAGCCAUGCCGCGUGAGUGACGAAGGUCUUCGGAUUGUAAAGCUCUUUUGGCGGGGACGAUAAUGACGGUACCCGCAGAAUAAGCCCCGGCUAACUUCGUGCCAGCAGCCGCGGUAAUACGAAGGGGGCUAGCGUUGUUCGGAAUUACUGGGCGUAAAGCGCACGUAGGCGGAUUUGUAAGUCAGGGGUGAAAUCCCGGGGCUCAACCUCGGAACUGCCUUUGAUACUGGCUGUCUCGAGGUCGAGAGAGGUUGGUGGAAUUCCUAGUGUAGAGGUGAAAUUCGUAGAUAUUAGGAAGAACACCAGUGGCGAAGGCGGCCAACUGGCUCGAUACUGACGCUGAGGUGCGAAAGCGUGGGGAGCAAACGAGGAUUAGAUACCCCAGUAGUCCCUGAGCGGGCUGGCAAGGCGCAU
rnacentral:rRNA from 1 species